GGAUCAGUACGUUGGUCGUGCCCUAGGUACGUACUGGUGUUACUGGUUCCUACCUUCUGACGAACCAUCAUGUCAUUAAUUUGGUGUGGCGGGGAAUCAGGACUGUUACUUUGAAAAAAUUAGGGUGUUUAAAGCAGGCUCGAGCUUGAAUACAUUAGCAUGGAAUAAUGAAAUAGGACGUUGAUCCUAUUUUGUUGGUUUCUAGGACCGAAGUAAUGAUUAAUAGGGAUAGUUGGGC
rnacentral:rRNA from 1 species